rnacentral:rRNA from 1 species
AUUGAACGCUGGCGGCAGGCUUAACACAUGCAAGUCGAGCGGGGGAAGGUAGCUUGCUACCGGACCUAGCGGCGGACGGGUGAGUAAUGCUUAGGAAUCUGCCUAUUAGUGGGGGACAACAUCUCGAAAGGGAUGCUAAUACCGCAUACGUCCUACGGGAGAAAGCAGGGGAUCUUCGGACCUUGCGCUAAUAGAUGAGCCUAAGUCGGAUUAGCUAGUUGGUGGGGUAAAGGCCUACCAAGGCGACGAUCUGUAGCGGGUCUGAGAGGAUGAUCCACCACACUGGGACUGAGACACGGCCCAGACUCCUACGGGAGGCAGCAGUGGGGAAUAUUGGACAAUGGGGGGAACCCUGAUCCAGCCAUGCCGCGUGUGUGAAGAAGGCCUUAUGGUUGUAAAGCACUUUAAGCGAGGAGGAGGCUACUUUAGUUAAUACCUAGAGAUAGUGGACGUUACUCGCAGAAUAAGCACCGGCUAACUCUGUGCCAGCAGCCGCGGUAAUACAGAGGGUGCGAGCGUUAAUCGGAUUUACUGGGCGUAAAGCGUGCGUAGGCGGCUUAUUAAGUCGGAUGUGAAAUCCCCGAGCUUAACUUGGGAAUUGCAUUCGAUACUGGUGAGCUAGAGUAUGGGAGAGGAUGGUAGAAUUCCAGGUGUAGCGGUGAAAUGCGUAGAGAUCUGGAGGAAUACCGAUGGCGAAAGCAGCCAUCUGGCCUAAUACUGACGC